CGGAUGAGUGGAGCUUGCUCCAUGAUUCAGCGGCGGACGGGUGAGUAAUGCCUAGGAAUCUGCCUGGUAGUGGGGGACAACGUUUCGAAAGGAACGCUAAUACCGCAUACGUCCUACGGGAGAAAGUGGGGGAUCUUCGGACCUCACGCUAUCAGAUGAGCCUAGGUCGGAUUAGCUAGUUGGUGAGGUAAAGGCUCACCAAGGCGACGAUCCGUAACUGGUCUGAGAGGAUGAUCAGUCACACUGGAACUGAGACACGGUCCAGACUCCUACGGGAGGCAGCAGUGGGGAAUAUUGGACAAUGGGCGAAAGCCUGAUCCAGCCAUGCCGCGUGUGAAAAGAACGUCUUCGCUUCUU
rnacentral:rRNA from 2 species